CGAUGGACUCUGGGAAUUGUAGUCAAGAGCGCUCGGAGGCGCCAUGGCCAGGAAGAAACUGCAUGCACCACUUAGGUGAAAACACCGCAGCUGCGAUCAUCGAGAAGCAGGAACGAGCUGAGAUUUCUUGUCUGGAAAGACAGAAAGAGCUCUGUCACCUGAAGCCCAGGGUAGAUGAGAUGGCCCAACCCGUGUUUACAGCUCUGCCAGUAAGGACUUGACUGCUGCCAAGCCCGAUGAUCAGAAUUUAACCCCCAGAACACAUGGAGGAAGGAGAAUCCAGCUUCCAAAUGUCCUCCUACUCCCACACAUUUACACGUUGAAAAUAAAAGGAGUCAAAAACUGAA